rnacentral:rRNA from 1 species
UACGUAGGGAGCAAGCGUUGUUCGGAUUUACUGGGCGUAAAGGGCGCGUAGGCGGCCUGUCAAGUCAAUUGUGAAAUCUCCGGGCUUAACUCGGAACGGUCAAUUGAUACUGUCAGGCUAGAGUGCAGAAAGGGCAAUCGGAAUUCUUGGUGUAGCGGUGAAAUGCGUAGAUAUCAAGAGGAACACCGGAGGCGAAGGCGAGUCCCUGGACAACUCCUGACACUGAGGCACGAAAGCUAGGGGAGCAAACAGG